rnacentral:rRNA from 1 species
GUGGGGAAUAUUGGACAAUGGGGGAAACCCUGAUCCAGCCAUGCCGCGUGUGUGAAGAAGGCCUUUUGGUUGUAAAGCACUUUAAGCGAGGAGGAGGCUACCGAGAUUAAUACUCUUGGAUAGUGGACGUUACUCGCAGAAUAAGCACCGGCUAACUCUGUGCCAGCAGCCGCGGUAAUACAGAGGGUGCAAGCGUUAAUCGGAUUUACUGGGCGUAAAGCGCGCGUAGGUGGCCAAUUAAGUCAAAUGUGAAAUCCCCGAGCUUAACUUAGGAAUUGCAUUCGAUACUGGUUGGCUAGAGUAUGGGAGAGGAUGGUAGAAUGCCAGGUGUAGCGGUGAAAUGCGUAGAGAUCUGGAGGAAUACCGAUGGCGAAGGCAGCCAUCUGGCCUAAUACUGACACUGAGGUGCGAAAGCAUGGGGAGCAAACAGGAUUAGAUACCCUAGUAGUCC